rnacentral:rRNA from 1 species
UGGGGAAUAUUGCGCAAUGGGCGAAAGCCUGACGCAGCAACGCCGCGUGAGUGAUGAAGGCCUUCGGGUCGUAAAGCUCUGUCGGAGGGAACGAAUGCUCUUGAGGUUAAUAGCCUCGGGAGGUGACGGUACCCUCAAAGGAAGCACCGGCUAACUCUGUGCCAGCAGCCGCGGUAAGACGGAGGGCGCAAGCGUUGUUCGGAAUUACUGGGCGUAAAGCGCACGUAGGCGGCUAGGUCCGUCCGAUGUGAAAGCCCCCGGCUCAACCGGGGAAUUGCAUCGGAUACAGCCUGGCUUGAGGACGGUUGGGGUGAGUGGAACUCCUGGUGGAGCGGUGAAAUGCGUAGAUAUCAGGAGGAACACCGGUGGCGAAAGCGGCUCACUGGACCGUUACUGACGCUGAGGUGCGAAAGCUAGGGGAGCAAACGGGAUUAGAUACCCCAGUAGUCCCUGAGCGGGCUGGCAAGGCGCAU